AACGUACGCUGGCGGCACGCCUAACACAUGCAAGUCGAACGAAGUAGCAAUACUUAGUGGCAGACGGGUGAGUAACAUGUAGGUAUCUACCCUAUGGCCUGGAAUAACACGAGGAAACUUGUGCUAAUACCGGAUAAGUCUUUACAGAGAAAGCUUUAUGCACCAUUGGAUGAGCCUGCACUUGAUUAGUUUGUUGGUGGGGUAAUGGCCUACCAAGACUGUGAUCAAUAGCUGAUUUGAGAGGAUGAUCAGCCACAUUGGGGCUGAGACACGGCCCAAACUCCUACGGGAGGCAGCAGUGGGGAAUCUUGCACAAUGGAGGAAACUCUGAUGCAGCGAUGCCGCGUGAGUGAAGAAGGCCUUUGGGUUGUAAAGCUCUUUCGUCGGGGAAGAAAAUGACUGCACCCGAAUAAGAAGGUCCGGCUAACUUCGUGCC
rnacentral:rRNA from 1 species